CUGCUUGUUUUAGCAGCAUGUAUACUAAAAUUGGAAUGAUACAGAGAAAAUUAGCUUGGCCCCUGUGCAAGAAUAACAAGCAAUUGGUGAAACAUUCCAUAUUUAA
ensembl:snRNA U6 U6 spliceosomal RNA